GUGUGCUUGCCCAUUGCUAUUUCUGCGUGGUUUUCCUAAGCUCAUUUCGUUACUGUAUAAAUGAUCUUUGUGGUAAUAAUACCAAAGAACCAUUACCAGGAGACUUAAAUGACUCAUGGGAUUAAGAUGGGAAGAUGAAUUCUUUCACCAAGUCGUCCGUUUGAAUCUAGCCAUGGACAGCAGAGAUGAAGAGCCUGAUUCUUCUUUUACUUGCUCUGGUACAGCUUAGAAUUCAAGGGCAUUAGUACUGGUUGUAAGAGAAAAAUGAGGGCCCAAAAGUGUCUGCCUUUGGACUGCAUGUUGUGUUACCAUGCCUCCAUGAGUUAUAGCUGAGAAUACCAAAUUCAGGACAAAGUGUUGGAAAAAAAGGGCAGACACACCCCAAACUUGUGGUUAUUCUUCCAUAAGAUAUAUCAACCAGCAACAAAAGUAAACUUGUGUCUCGCCUCACUGGCCAACAAGAAGUUAGAAAUGCAGCCUCCUCAGGUAUUCACUCCUUGGACUCACCACCAAAACCACUGAAUUUUAAAUCAGUUUCAUCAAACAAAAGGUUGUUCUGAUCCCAAAGGGCCACCAGCCAUGUUCCUAGGUCAAUAUAUGACUCAGAUCUUACCCAAUAAUCAUGCUGUUCCAAUCUUUUAGUAUCUAAAAUUGCAAGGUUUAGAGAGAGAAAGAGAAGAGUUAAAAUUGGCUAAAGCAGGGGUUCCCAAACUCUGUGAUACUGCAACCCCCCUCUAAGGUGCUCGUGACCCCCCGGGGGGGCCAGGACCCACAGUUUCAGAAACGCGGGGCUAAAGGAAUCAAAUAUAUACAAUAAAUGCAAAGUCCUUGGAUCAGGCUAAUAGCAGUGAUGGUAUCAACUGCUGAUUUAUUCAAAUCAUGGGAAGGUUCGCAGUCCCAUAGUUAGAAUGCUCCCAUUAGUACAAGUUUAGGUUUGAGCAGGAAAGCAGCAAAAUGGAGAUGUUUCCAGCACUUUUUGUAGCUUCAGCCAUACAGAGGGAAAUCCAUUGUUUCAAACAAAACUCUCAGCACAACUAGUGGAAGAUUACAGGUAAAAGAUGGAGUUUGGAGUUACUUGUACAAGUCACAUGUCCAUGCAUAAUUCUGCUUAGUCACAAUAGAAGACUUCACAUACAUUCUGUUCACAGCAUGGAUUGCAAGAAAGUCCAUUCAAGAAUCUGAGAACCUACCCUUUUGUGUUUUAAGGACCCACUUUUUUGGAUCUCCAACUGAAUGUAGUCACAGAAAUAUUUCAGAAAAAUCUAUGACCUAGUAGCAAGAUCUUAUGGAAAAACCUGUAUGAAGAAAACGUCUUGCCUAGCAAUUUUUUGAAGGGGAUUUAUGGAGAUGUUCUUUUACCCAGAUAAUCUAACUUCAGAAGUGUAUGUCGCACGCAAAGCAUAAUUUCUAUGGCUGACAAGGUGUUUCUCUUCUGAAGGUGCUUGCAGUUAAGUACAAAUCUUGGAUCAGCUGUAACCUAAAAAGUAUAAAGCAGCUAUUAAUCCGUGUGUGCCGUACAGUAGAGGAUGCUGUGAGGGGAGAUUUAAGACAGUCAAACAGCUUGUACCUGACUGAUGUAAGCAGAGCCGUUUCAUUUAAAUAUGAAAUAUUUCAACUGGAUGUUUGAGUCUUUCACUUGGGAACAGUGUUUCCUAUAAGCCAUGUGUUUGUGCAGCUGCACAGGAGAGAGUCAAAUGCUGCCCAGCUGAUUAACAGAAUGCCCACAGCUAGGUUUUUUGUUUCUCUUAGUGGUGCACAUUUGCACAUAUCUCAGUGUACAUACAAAUUUAUUCCCCACAUGGAUGAGAUCAGAGGGAACAUUGCUUAGGAUAAGCCAAGGUGCAGCUGUGAUUCUUCACAGAACUGUCCUUGGGAUGCAGUCUUUGGGCCAGAUCUGAAGUUGGUGUAAAUUGAUGCAUUGGGGGUCAUGGAGCUGUGUUUAUUUACUCCCACCGAGAACUGGGCAUUUUGUAUGUGAAGGUGAUUAUUUUUAGAUACUGUACUUUAAAUCCCUGAGAAUUCAUUUGCUUUUCUUUGAUUUUUUUUUAAGCCUGGUAACAUGGAAUUCUGAUAUAUUCCUGGAAUUGUAUGUAAACUAUUAUUUUUCUUGUCAAUGGCUG